GCUCCAGUAAUUCAAUUUCAAGUGCUGCUUUUUUAAUGAAGAGCCUUUUCUCUUCCAUUUGAAGCUGUAUAAGGAAGGUGGAAAAAAUGUAAUGAAUGAGAUUGUUUGGUCAGACAAUAAAAUUCAAAUAUGGACACCUGGACACAAAUUCUUACCCUGCUUAGAUUGUGUGCUGAGGUUGAAGGACCCUCAUCUGUGGGCAAAUCCCUAGGUAUGUACUGUGAAAGGACAAUGACAGUUUGUUAAUCUAAUGCAAAAAGGGGCCAUACAUUAUAAUGGUAUGCAUCAUACCUCAGUGGAUCUACCAGCAUUGUCCACUUCUGUCACAGCAGAUGUGGUCUCUUCAUCGUCAUCUUCAUCAUCUUCAUCCUACAGGAGAAAUAUUCAAGUAUACAUUAUCUGGCAAAAAAAAUAAA